UACGGAGGAUGCAAGCGUUAUCCGGAAUAAUUGGGCGUAAAGCGUUCGUAGGUGGUGAUGUAAGUCUGCUGUUAAAGCGUGUAGCUUAACUACAUAUAGGCGGUGGAAACUACAUGACUAGAGUGCGUUCGGGGCAGAGGGAAUUCCUGGUGUAGCGGUGAAAUGCGUAGAUAUCAGGAAGAACACCGGUGGCGAAGGCGCUCUGCUAGGCCGUAACUGACACUGAGGGACGAAAGCUAGGGGAGCGAAUGGG
rnacentral:rRNA from 1 species